UCCGCGUCGUUGCCUCUUCAAGUUUUGUGUUCUGGGUCGUGCCGGUCGCGGAGCUCUCGUAUGUUUCGUACGACGUCGCUUCUGUUGCCUCCGGACUGGAUUCUUGAACCGCAGGUUCGAGUGGC